AAAGAAAAAAGAAGAAGAAGAAAAAUAGAGGAGAGGGUGGAGCGGAGGAGAUGAACGACGAAGCUUGAAGAGCUCGUCAGCAACGUUGGGGCCGAACGGUUCAAGAAGGGAGAACGCCGACGGUUAUGGUCGAGGGAAGUUGAUGUGUCCUCGUGAAGAAGAAGACAUGGGGUGCUGAGAGUAAAGAAAGAUUAAGAAGAAGGUGGGAAGAAGAGGCCGAAAAUUGUGGGGCGCGACCUGACCCGACCCGACCCAACUCACCUGAAAAUUUCCAAUUAGCUUAGUCAAGUGGACACUUGAAGACUUGAUAAAGUUCGAGAAGUCUACGAUCAUGCACAUUGUCCGCCCACACUACAAGAAUGAAGGCUUUUGAUAUCGUUGGAAGAUAACAUUUAAAUAAAUUGAAAAAGCCCAGCCCAUCCCAUUAAUACCCUAACAUCUGAGAUAAAAGAACAACCAUCUCCCUUUCAACCCUCUCUCACUGGCCGGCAACACUAUCUUAGCAAAGGAGUCUCUCCCUCUCCCACCUAUUUUGGCCGGAGCAAACAACUCUCUCCCUUAUUUCGGUAAGACCUUGCAACUCUCUUCCACCUAUUUCGGCAAGACUAUCUCAGCAAAAAUCACUCUCCCACUAUUUCGGCAAGCAGUGAACGGGCUCUUAGAUAUGGAAGUUAAGUUCUUCAGAUCCAACUUCGAUCUCAAGGAUUAUGUUAUGGACAAAGGCUCACAAAGAAGGAUGGACAACCGGUGAAUUCACAAGUUGCUGAGACACUCGAGCUAGCCGAGGUCGAGACAAAAACUUCAUCAAAUAAUAUUGUUGAUGAUGCUUUGAGUAAAUUUCUUGGACUGGAUUGUGGGCAUGUAAGAGGACUUAGAUUUGGAGUGACUCGAUCUAAAUUGUCUCUCUUGUCUCAACAAGAAAAUAGAUACACGACUCUUGAGAAAGAAUAUUUGAAGAUGAGGGAAGAAAUGAUGGAAAUGAAAUCAAUGUUCUCAAGUUUUACGAAGAAACAGGUGAAUAAAGUGAUGCAGGUCUUGGCAUGAUGAAUUUGAAGAUGACACUUCUCUACCUGAUAAACAUGAAGCCAAACUUUGCUAUAUAAGUUAAAGAUAGCAUACUAUUUUAGCUAUAUUAAACAUAUUAUAGCUUAAUAAAAACGCUAUUAAAAGUUUACGAUAGCAUUUUGUUUGCUAUAUUAAACAUAUUAUAGCUCAAUAUAGUUUGCUAUAUAAGCUAUCGUACUUAUUGUUUGUUGUAGUGCCAAGUUCCACUGCUAACAAAAAUUGUCCA